GCGGGCUAUCCGCGAUGGGAUCCAGCGUCUGCUGGUCUUCUUAGUGGAUCGAGCCGAGGCGCUCAAGGAGAUCCAAUGGAGUGUGGCCUUCUCGGUGGAUCCAGCUGAGACGCGCGAGAGCAUCUUCCUAGGGUUUGAAGUUGGUGACCGAGGAGGAGGCGGCGCCAGCGAUGGCGCGCAAGCCGUGCACGAGGCCACGACGACUCCACAAAGACGGCUCUCCAUUCUUCCCGACCCGCGACCGCGUGCUCUCCGAGCUCCAACACCUUCGCUCCACGCUCGCCGCGUCGCUGCCCUCCACAUCACCAUGGCGAUGAUUUCUCGGAUUCGAGGUGGGUUGUGCUUGGUGCCUAGAUGGGUUGGUUCUGCUCGGUUGUAAGGUCAGCAAAUGCAGCAGUUGGUGUGAUCGCAGAAACAAAUGCUGAAAAAGCACUCGAGAGUCCAUCGCUACUUGUUGUCCCUAGACGAGAGGUCGUCCAAGAUGGCGGCAAUGCCGGCUGUUCCUUCCCCUGUGGUGGCGGCCAAAUGUGCCCCCCUUCUAGGUGAGAUCUGCACCUCAUCUCUCUGUCUCUCAAGCCCUAAUCAACGUUGUGGCAGCGACGGCCACCACAGACGACAUGCCAUCCUCUCACUUCUAGGCAACGAGGCGGCGGUGCCUGCGCCCCCAAAACAAAUCCAUAUGCGAGCAGAUCGUCUCAGUGCUGCCUCCACCUGAGCAACACCUACAAAUUCGUUCAAGGCCCCAUCUGGUUGUUAUAUUGGGCAGAGAAAAAAACAUAGCCUACAGGAUAGCGAUCUUUGCAUAAGCACUGCCUGAAAGCCAGUUGAUCAGUAUGUUCUCUUGCUAUACCAUCUUUGAUUAGUAUACUUUGUUUGAUAAUAUUUUCCUUUCUAUGAUGAGAUCUGUUGACUAGGUUUGUUAUCUCCAUAGGUAUCUAUGUAAAUAUGGCAACGUGAUGUUUAGUAUUGCAAACUGAACUUCAUAUUUAUAUCUUUUAUUUGUGGUGGACUGUAUUACAAUUAAGUCUUAACAACCUGAACAUGAUAGCUAUGUCAUAUUCUUUGCUCUCUCCCCGUGGUGGAAUCCAAGUUAACUUCUAGGGCACUUGUAGGUGAGGGAGAUGAUGGCAGGCUUUUGUUCCCCUUCUAUUGAGACUUUUUCUCUCCAGGAACAGCAUCAAUACCACAUGCCCACAAUCUGCUCUUGUUUGGAGGUGGGCCCUACAUCAGCAUUUUGCUGCCCUAUACAUUGUUUGAUUUUGUUUGACCAAUUCCUUUUUUCUCUAUUUUCCUUGACUAAUCAUCAUGCAUUUGGUUAUGGAUAUGUGUGGGCAUCUACAAUUAAGAAGCAAUCUCGCUUCACGGUUGUGGAAUUGUUCUCAUUAGUUUAGUGGAACAUGUCUUGGCCUCCAUACUAUUACAAUCUUAAUCCAAUGGGACUCCAUACUUUGGCAUUCAAUCUUCUUACAUCAGAUCUGGUGCAGGCAUCAUCUAUUGAGGCUUUGCAUUCCCUGUCAAUGAGUACAUCCGGUGUCAACCAUUUGCUUUGCUCCGAUAACACAUGUCGCUCACUCCACGAUCUAAUAGUUCUGUAUUUUGUGGAGCCAAUUAAAUCUCUGUGUUCAGUUAUAGUUGUAAAACAGUAGUGCAUGGUUAAGUUGUAUGAGCAUAUCACAUUGGCCUCUCCCUAGAAGCAAGCACAUCUUUCUGACUGUGAGGUGUACUUGGCUUUCUCUUACAAAAUUUAAAAAAUGGACACAUCCUAUAAGCUAAUGUAGGUAUGUUAAUAUUUUAAUAAAUAAUUGUACAAAUAGAACCAAAGUUCAGCUACAACUAGGCUUUUAUUAACUAUAUUGCUUUGCUUUUGUUUAAUUGGGUUCUUUUGUUGUUGAAUAUAAAAGAUUUAAGUUUUCUCUUCUCCUUUCCUUCCAUAAAAAUAAUCCAUCAUAUGCAUACUUCUCUCUAAGCCUUCUCUUGCAGAUAAUGCCUCUCUUCUAAUGGAGCCAGAGGAUAGUAUUCCAUUCUUCGAUGAAAUAUAGCCUAUUGAGAGAGUUGUCUUUCGGGCAUGUUGUAGCUUUUGGCUGUUUAUAUAUGUUGAUU